GAGAAGCAUCCACAAACACAUGAUGGGUGCAAAGAUGUAGCUUGUCAACUACGUUUAACAGAAAGUCAACGUCUUCCACAGCAUGAAACUUUUAAGUAGAAGCAUCUACAAACACAUGAUGGGUGCAAAAAAUGUGGCUUGUCAACUAGGUUUAACAGAAAGUCAACGUCUUCCACAGCAUGAAACUCUUGAGGAGAAGCAUCCAGAAACACAUGAUGGGUGCAAAAAUGUAGCUUGUCAACUACGUUUAACAGAAAGUCAACGUCUUCCACAGCAUGAAACUUCAUGAAACUUUAAGGAGAAGUACCGACAAACAGACAUGACCUAAACAAAAACCUAGCUCGUCGAAUAUGUUAACAAGACGCAUUGAGAAGUCCUACAAAAGCAGAGGUCGUCAUGCUUUGGCCUAAGGUUCACUUGUAGAUGCAACAUGGGCAUUCUCCACCUUUCCACCACCAUCUUCUGCCUUGGCCUCAGCCCCUUCCAUAUCUGCAUCAUCUGGAUUAUGUGGCAUACAGUAAUUACAAGCAAUGUCUGAGCAGCAUAAACUCGCAGAAUAUCUCCCUCAAGG
rnacentral:lncRNA from 1 species